rnacentral:rRNA from 1 species
UAGGGAAUCUUCGGCAAUGGACGAAAGUCUGACCGAGCAACGCCGCGUGAGUGAAGAAGGUUUUCGGAUCGUAAAACUCUGUUGUUAGAGAAGAACAAGGAUGAGAGUAAAUGUUCAUCCUUGACGGUACUAACCAGAAAGCCACGGCUAACUACGUGCCAGCAGCCGCGGUAAUACGUAGGUGGCAAGCGUUGUCCGGAUUUAUUGGGCGUAAAGCGAGCGCAGGCGGUUUCUUUAAGUCUGAUGUGAAAGCCCCCCGGC